GUGCUUGUUUGGGCAGCACAUAUACUAAAAUUGGAACCAUAUGGACCCUGUGCAAGGAUGACAUACAAAUUCAUGAAGGAAUAUCACUUUAG
ensembl:snRNA U6 U6 spliceosomal RNA